UUGGUUAAGUUAGAAAGGGCGCACGGUGGAUGCCUUGGCACUAGGAGCCGAAGAAGGACGGGACUAACACCGAUAUGCUUUGGGGAGCUGUACGUAAGCGUUGAUCCAGAGAUUUCCGAAUGGGGGAACCCACUAUCUUUAGUCGGAUAGUAUCCUUACGUGAAUACAUAGCGUGAGGAAGGCAGACCCAGGGAACUGAAACAUCUAAGUACCUGGAGGAAGAGAAAGAAAAAUCGAUUUCCUGAGUAGCGGCGAGCGAAACGGAAAGAGCCCAAACCAAGAAGCUUGCUUCUUGGGGUUGUAGGACACUCUAUACGGAGUUACAAAAGAAAGUUAUAAAUGAAGCGGUCUGGAAAGGCCCGCCAAAGACGGUAACAGCCCGGUAGUUGAAAUGGCUUUCCCUCCAGAGUGGAUCCUGAGUACGGCGGAACACGUGAAAUUCCGUCGGAAUCCGGGAGGACCAUCUCCCAAGGCUAAAUACUCCCUAGUGACCGAUAGUGAACCAGUACCGUGAGGGAAAGGUGAAAAGCACCCCGGAAGGGGAGUGAAACAGUUCCUGAAACCGUGUGCCUACAAGUAGUUAGAGCCCGUUAAUGGGUGAUAGCGUGCCUUUUGUAGAAUGAACCGGCGAGUUACGAUUUGUUGCAAGGUUAAGCGGAAAAAGCGGAGCCGUAGCGAAAGCGAGUCUGAAUAGGGCGCAUAAGUAACAGGUCGUAGACCCGAAACCAGGUGAUCUACCCAUGUCCAGGAUGAAGGUAAGGUAAUACUUACUGGAGGUCCGAACCCACGCACGUUGAAAAGUGCGGGGAUGAGGUGUGGGUAGCGGAGAAAUUCCAAUCGAACUUGGAGAUAGCUGGUUCUCUCCGAAAUAGCUUUAGGGCUAGCCUCGAGGUAAAGAGUCAUGGAGGUAGAGCACUGUUUGGACUAGGGGCCCUUCUCGGGUUACCGAAUUCAGAUAAACUCCGAAUGCCAUGUACUUAUACUCGGGAGUCAGACUGCGAGUGAUAAGAUCCGUAGUCGAAAGGGAAACAGCCCAGACCACCAGUUAAGGUCCCCAAAUAUAUGUUAAGUGGAAAAGGAUGUGGGGUUGCUUAGACAACCAGGAUGUUGGCUUAGAAGCAGCCACCAUUGAAAGAGUGCGUAAUAGCUCACUGGUCGAGUGACCCCGCGCCGAAAAUGUACCGGGGCUAAACAUAUUACCGAAACUGUGGAUGAACCUCUUCGGAGGUUCGUGGUAGGAGAGCGUUCUAAGGGCGGUGAAGUCAGACCGGAAGGACUGGUGGAGCGCUUAGAAGUGAGAAUGCCGGUAUGAGUAGCGAAAGAAGGGUGAGAAUCCCUUCCACCGAAUAUCUAAGGUUUCCUGAGGAAGGCUCGUCCGCUCAGGGUUAGUCGGGACCUAAGCCGAGGCCGAUAGGCGUAGGCGAUGGACAACAGGUAGAGAUUCCUGUACCAGUGCUAAUUGUUUAACCGAUGGGGUGACACAGAAGGAUAGGGAAUCGCACGAAUGGAAAUGUGCGUCCAAGCAGUGAGUGUGAGAAGUAGGCAAAUCCGCUUCUUGCGAAGCAUGAGCUGUGAUGGGGAAGGAAAUUAAGUACGGAAGUUCCUGAUUUCACGCU
rnacentral:rRNA from 1 species